GUUUCAAAGUCCCAACCAUUUGUCUUCCUAAAAUACUGGUCCUUCCGUAUAACAAUAACCUCGUAUGUGAUUGGAGGACCCUUAGACUCCUCGUCCAAUCACGUGUGAGGUCAUAGGCAUGACUGAUACAGCAGUACUUGCAAGACGAGCAUACAAACAGACACGUGUGUGUUACUAUAUUCAGAAGAACUGUAUCUCCAGUUCCUUUGUUUGGUUUUUGCUGCUUCGUGAAUAAUGGCUGGACGACGUCUCGCGCUCAACUCGCCUUCAACUCCUCUCCGCGGUCACCAACUUUCGGCCAGUCCGCAGACAGACGAGAAGAAGCUGCUGAUGAUCUCAGUGGAUCGUCUCGUCAACUCCAACAACAAACUGCCGAUAUCAACGAGCGGUUCGCUCCACUGGAGCGUUCGGGACUCUGCGGGUUUCUGUCCAUGGAGGAGAGGAACCGACUCAAAGAAGAGGAGACGGGCGCACGAUCCCACGAUAGCGGAAGCGCUGCGCCGUCUUCACAACUCCGAGACGAAUUACAGGCGCCACGAACCGGAGCAAGGACUAAUCUCGCCUCAUAAUGAGGCGGUGACCUCGUAUUUGCUCCGGGAAAAGUCCAGAUUUAGACGACGUCAUUGUGUCCGCCUGUGAGACGUAUUGUGAGACGGGACGCAGGAGCUUCAGGUUCAGGCGGAACACUCAUUGCGAGCGGAAGCUGCGAAGGAUUCAGCGCGGAGUCGAGCGAGAAGAAAGAGGCUGCUGGAAUCGAGACAAAGUGUGCUGGCUGAUGACGAGGUGGAACUCCGCCACCACACGAGCCGCCUGCACAACAGACCUGCCUCGGAAAACACGGCGCCAGUGACGGUCUACGACCCCGAGGAGGCAAACGGACAGUUUACUGAGCUGUAGUUUUUAAACCGCCGUUACCCAAGUGUGGGCAGAUCCUCACUUUGUAUGUAGUUGUUGUUUGUGUGUUAAUAAAGCUCUUUCUUUGCAUAAACAUGUGGCAAAUGUUCAUUUUCUCUAUAAAUUCAUUGAUGUCCUGG
ensembl:lncRNA